UAAUACGUAGGAUGCAAGCGUUGUCCGGAAUUAUUGGGCGUAAAGCGAACGUAGGCGGCUUCUUAAGUUUGGUCUUAAAGACCGGGGCUCAACCCCGGGAAUGGACUGAAUACUGGGAGGCUGGAGGAUGUCAGAGGAAAGUGGAAUUCCCAGUGUAGCGGUGAAAUGCGUAGAUAUUGGGAGGAACACCAGUGGCGAAAGCGACUUUCUGGGGCAUUCCUGACGCUGAGGUUCGAAAGCUCGGGGAGCAAACAGGAUUAGAUACCCUGGUAGUCCGAGCCGUAAACGAUGGAUACUAGGUGUUGUGGGUAUCGACUCCCACAGUGCCGUAGCUAACGCGUUAAGUAUCCCGCCUGGGGAGUACGGUCGCAAGACU
rnacentral:rRNA from 1 species